GAUGAAGAACGUAGCGAAAUGCGAUAAGUAAUGUGAAUUGCAGAAUUCAGUGAAUCAUCGAAUCUUUGAACGCACAUUGCGCCCCCUGGUAUUCCGGGGGGCAUGCCUGUCCGAGCGUCAUUACAACCCUCAAGCUCAGCUUGGUGUUGGGCCCCGCCGCCCCGGCGGGCCCUAAAGUCAGUGGCGGUGCCGUCCGGCUCCGAGCGUAGUAAUUCUUCUCGCUCUGGAGGUCCGGUCGUGUGCUCGCCAGCAACCCCCAAUUUUUUUCAGGUUGACCUCGGAUCAGGUAGGGAUACCCGCUGAACUUAAGCAUAUCAAUGCGGAGGA
rnacentral:misc_RNA from 1 species